UGGGGAAUAUUGGACAAUGGGGGCAACCCUGAUCCAGCCAUGCCGCGUGCGUGAAGAAGGCCUUAGGGUUGUAAAGCGCUUUCACUGGUGAAGAUGAUGACGGUAGCCAGAGAAGAAGCCCCGGCUAACUCCGUGCCAGCAGCCGCGGUAAUACGGAGGGGGCAAGCGUUGUUCGGAAUUACUGGGCGUAAAGGGCGCGUAGGCGGACGAUCAAGUUAGGGGUGAAAGCCCGGGGCUCAACCUCGGAACUGCCUUUAAAACUGAUACUCUAGAGUCCGGAAGAGGGUCGCGGAAUUCCCAGUGUAGAGGUGAAAUUCGUAGAUAUUGGGAAGAACACCGGUGGCGAAGGCGGCGACCUGGUCCGGUACUGACGCUGAGGCGCGAAAGCGUGGGGAGCAAACAGGAUUAGAUACCCCCGUAGUCC
rnacentral:rRNA from 1 species